CCCUACGGGAGGCAGCAGUGGGGAAUAUUGCACAAUGGGGGAAACCCUGAUGCAGCGACGCCGCGUGAGUGAAGAAGUAAUUCGUUAUGUAAAGCUCUAUCAGCAGGGAAGAAAAUGACGGUACCUGAGUAAGAAGCCCCGGCUAACUACGUGCCAGCAGCCGCGGUAAUACGUAGGGGGCAAGCGUUAUCCGGAUUUACUGGGUGUAAAGGAAGCGUAGACGGCUGUGCAAGUCUGAAGUGAAAGCCCAGGGCUCAACCCUGGGACUGCUUUGGAAACUGUGGAGCUAGAGUGCUGGAGCGGUA
rnacentral:rRNA from 1 species